AUACUUACUUGCCAGGGGACCCCAUGAUCACAAAGUGUGAGCUUAUCCAUUACGCUCUGGAUUUCGUGACCCCUGCGAUUUCCCCAAAUGUGAGAAACUUGCCUGCCUAGUUUGUGGUAGUGGGGCUCUACAUUCAUGUUCUUUCCUU
rnacentral:snRNA from 1 species